rnacentral:misc_RNA from 1 species
GUCGACCGAAAUGAAAUAGAUGCACACACUCGCAUGUAAUAAAAUUCAUUUUUAAUUGUAACCAUGAGACUUCUGCCCCUCAUACAAGAGGGAUAUGGAUUUUAAGCAACCAUAGAGUUGACAUAUUCAGACACACACAUGAAACAAACGACAAUUGAUACUAAUAGUACCCUCCAUUGUACUCAAUCCUCCUCUUCAGCUUCUUCAAGCCAAUUAACGAACGGCUCCAGGGCUUUUACAAAUGUUUGCCUGCCCUUUGGGUUUGACCCCUUGCGAAACCAGAGAAGAAUAGUAUCCUCAGCCAGUACAUCUUGAUCAUACAAAGACCUCACUAUUUCAGGGAACAACUUCAUCAGCUUCGCAUCCUCGUAGCAUUGGAUCUGGACUUUAUACAUCAGUUCAAGUUCCAGUUUUCCAUUUGUGCAAAAUGCAUUCAACAGUUGAGCCCAAGUUUUCACCUGGCGUAGUGCGGCAUUGGCAUUUUGUUGUUGAUUCUUCCCAGACCACUGAACGGCAUCCAUUAAAACAUCCCACAAAAUGCGUAUGAUUUCAAUAUCAGGUAACUUAGCAUCCUUAACCCGUUGCUUCACAGUCUCUAUGACUUCAGAUACAUCGGUCUCUUCAGCAAUCUGGGUUGUCAAAGCUGACUUCAUCUCCUUCAGCUUAACCUCAAACAUUUUCCUAUCAUUGUAUUCAACAAGAGCUACUAGACCUUCUUUGACAAAAUGUUCAGAAAAACCUUCAGCAGACCGCUUUGCAGUCGGAAAGAAAUCAAGAAGAUUAUCUUCCAUUUUACCACGCUUCAAAAGAGAGAUAAGAUCAUCUAAACUGUUGUCAACCAAAUACACCUUGAAGAAAUCAGUCAUGAAUGAAAGGACUAUUCCCUUGGCAACAAGAUUAUCUUUGAGCAAUGGCUGGAACACCGUCUCCGGUGGAAGGCCCGAAAGCUUCUGUGAGAAUGUAAGGGCAGUAAAAAUAGCAAGCUUCUUUCUCUCGUUCUCUUCAAAGAGCUCCAAGGAUUGCAGGAAUUUUCGCAUAACAUUUUCAAGGCUCUUGAUUAGAAAAGGCCUACGCCGCAAGAUCUUCUGUAUAUAAAGAACUGAAGGCAAAAUUGCUUCACGUCUAGGCUCACAACCUAGAACUGAGUAGGGAUGUUUCUCUCCUUCAUCAGGCUUUACUGUACCAGGCUGAGUACGUCCUCCAGUGAACACUACCUCGAAGAAGGUGUCGCCGUAUCGCGAGAAGUCGUGAUCGGAAGAUUCUACAGAUUUGGCAAUGAGUUCCAGAUCACCAGCAUUAUCAAGAUAUAUCCGGACCACUGCAUCUGCAAAAGCAGACGGGUCCAAAGGAGCUGAUAUGUUCCGUUUGCGGGUCUUGAUCCGCGUGCCACCGAGAGUGGGCUUCUCCU